rnacentral:rRNA from 1 species
UGAAAAGCUUGGCACCUUCCGGUGUCCGCGUUGUAAUCUCGAGAGGUGUUUUUCCGUGCUGGACCAUGUACAAGUUCCUUGGAGUAGGACGUCAUAGAGGGUGAAAAUCCCGUACUUUGACAUGGACGCCCAGUGCUUUGUGAUACACUCUCCACGAGUCGAGUUGUUUGGGAAUGCAGCUCAAAAUGGGUGGUAAAUUCCAUCUAAAGCUAAAUAUUGGGGAGAGACCGAUAGCGAACAAGUACCGUGAGGGAAAGAUGAAAAGCACUUUGGAAAAGAGAGUUAAACAGUACGUGAAAUUGUCGAAAGGGAAGCGCUUGAAGUUAGACAUGCUUGCCGGGAUUCAGCCUUGCUUUUGCUUGGUGCAUUUCCCGGUGUGCAGGCCAGCAUCAGUUUUGUUUGCCGGAUAAGGGUGAGAGGAAUGUGGCCCCUCGGGGUGUUAUAGCCUCUCACUGGAUACGGCGGAUGGGACUGAGGACCGCAGUGUGCCUUUUAUGGCGGGCCUUCGGGCACCUUCACACUUAGGAUGCUGGCGUAAUGGCUUUAAGCGACCCGUCUUGAAACACGGACCGAGGAGUCUAACAUGUCUGCGAGUCUUUGGGUGGCAAACCCAUGGGCGCAAUGAAAGUGAAUGCAGGUGGGAUCCGCAAGGAGCACCAUCGACCGAACCGGAUCUUCUGUGAUGGUUUUGAGUAAGAGCAUAUAUGUUGG